rnacentral:rRNA from 1 species
GACGAACGCUGGCGGCGUGCUUAACACAUGCAAGUCGAACGGAAAGGCCCUGCUUUUGUGGGGUGCUCGAGUGGCGAACGGGUGAGUAACACGUGAGUAACCUGCCCUUUACUUUGGGAUAACUUCAGGAAACUGGGGCUAAUACCGGAUAGGAGCUCCUGCUGCAUGGUGGGGGUUGGAAAGUUUCGGCGGUUGGGGAUGGACUCUCGGCUUAUCAGCUGGUUGGUGGGGUAGUGGCUUACCAAGGCUUUGACGGGUAGCCGGCCUGAGAGGGUGACCGGCCACAUUGGGACUGAGAUACGGACCAGACGCCUACGGGAGGCAGCAGUGGGGAAUAUUGCACAAUGGGCGGAAGCCUGAUGCAGCAACGCCGCGUGCGGGAUGACGGCCUUCGGGUUGUAAACCGCUUUCGCCUGUGACGAAGCGUGAGUGACGGUAAUGGGUAAAGAAGCACCGGCUAAAUACGUG